rnacentral:rRNA from 1 species
GACGAACGCUGGCGGCGUGCCUAAUACAUGCAAGUAGAACGCUGAAGCUUGGUGCUUGCACCGAGCGGAUGAGUUGCGAACGGGUGAGUAACGCGUAGGUAACCUGCCUGGUAGCGGGGGAUAACUAUUGGAAACGAUAGCUAAUACCGCAUAAGAGUAGAUGUUGCAUGACAUUUGCUUAAAAGGUGCAAUUGCAUCACUACCAGAUGGACCUGCGUUGUAUUAGCUAGUUGGUGAGGUAACGGCUCACCAAGGCAACGAUACAUAGCCGACCUGAGAGGGUGAUCGGCCACACUGGGACUGAGACACGGCCCAGACUCCUACGGGAGGGAGCAGUAGGGAAUCUUCGGAAAUGGACGGAAGUCUGACCGAGCAACGCCGCGGGAGUGAAGAAGGUUUUCGGAUCGUAAAGCUCUGUUGUAAGAGAAGAACGAGUGUGAGAGUGGAAAGUUCACACUGUGACGGUAUCUUACCAGAAAGCGACGGCUAACUACGUG